UACGUAGGGGGCGAGCGUUGUCCGGAAUCAUUGGGCGUAAAGCGCGUGUAGGCGGCCCGGUAAGUCCGCUGUGAAAGUCCAGGGCUCAACCCUGGGAUGCCGGUGGAUACUGUCGGGCUCGAGUCCGGAAGAGGCGAGUGGAAUUCCUGGUGUAGCGGUGAAAUGCGCAGAUAUCAGGAGGAACACCGGUGGCGAAGGCGGGUCUCUGGGUCGUAACUGACGCUGAGGAGCGAAAGCGUGGGGAGCGAACAGG
rnacentral:rRNA from 1 species